CAGUCGCCACGGGAAUACGAAGGGGGCUAGCGUUGUUCGGAAUUACUGGGCGUAAAGCGCACGUAGGCGGACAUUUAAGUCAGGGGUGAAAUCCCGGGGCUCAACCCCGGAACUGCCUUUGAUACUGGGUGUCUAGAGUAUGGAAGAGGUGAGUGGAAUUCCGAGUGUAGAGGUGAAAUUCGUAGAUAUUCGGAGGAACACCAGUGGCGAAGGCGGCUCACUGGUCCAUUACUGACGCUGAGGUGCGAAAGCGUGGGGAGCAAACAGGAUUAGAUACCCCGGUAGUCCCUGUCUCUUAUAU
rnacentral:rRNA from 1 species